ACGAAAUUAACAAAAUUGCACACGGGACCUCCAAAUAUUCUUCCAGGGGAACGGCGUAAUAUCAAGUUGUGUUGUCAAGAUGCUGUAAUAUGCCUUAACUGUACAUAACUUGUGGUUAUCAGACCUCCACUUCAAACUAUCUCGUUGUGCCAAAGGAAUCUCCGUGGAAUAUAGUAAGCUGAAAAAUUCUGAAACAAUAGGUAACUCCCAAUCAUGUAAAUCCCUGUUAAAAAGAAUAUUUCGCUGAUGCGCACCAU